GUCAGAGAAACCUAGAAAUUGAUAUAUAUGUUAGGUUUCUCCAAAAGUCAGAAUUAUCAAGUUAGAUUUCUAGAACUCAGAAAUCUGAAACAAGAAAUUGGGUGUUGGCCAACCUUUUAUCCAUUUUUGCUCUAUCCAAGGGUGGAAACCUCAAAUUUAUCCACGGAGCCCUCUGGAGGUAGAGUUGAGGUUGCUUGACGCUCUUCUCCUUUCGAGUGAAUUGCUUCAAUUCGGAUGCCUUUGUUCAAUUCUAGGGAUUGUUUCAUUAGAAAUCUUACAACUAAAACCCCUCUAUCUGAGUAGUGAAAAAAUUCUCCACUAAUUAUCUGCUUAGCACUAAGAAACCCCUCUAACUAACUAACCACCGCUAAUUUAAAUUAGUUAAGUACAGGAUGUAACUAUAUACAAGAACUACUAACUGCCUAAUCAGUUGAUCCACUAGCUUCAAGCCUUCAACAGGACUGUAGGUUUGUGACAUUGGUGGCAAGGAGUCAAUGAUUGAAGCCAUUACCAACUUGAAGUUAGCUUCGGAGAAUAGGGACUGCUUAAUCAUCAGCGGAAAAAUUUCGCUCUAUCUCUAUUUUUGAAAGUAUAUACGCCGAUUUAGCCCAUACUUUGUGUGUAAACACCCGAUUUAGCUCAUAUUUGUGUAUAAACACCUUUAUACACUAUUAUACGCCUUAUACAAGAUUGAUACAUUAAAGUUCCCCGAGAUAUUUCUUCAAAUCCAAUUCGUUUUUAA